UACAGAGGGUGCGAGCGUUGUUCGGAAUUAUUGGGCGUAAAGAGCUCGUAGGCGGCCUGUUGCGUCCGCUGUGAAAGCCCGGGGCUUAACCCCGGGUCUGCAGUGGAUACGGGCAGGCUAGAGGUAGGUAGGGGAGAAUGGAAUUCCCGGUGUAGCGGUGAAAUGCGCAGAUAUCGGGAGGAACACCGGUGGCGAAGGCGGUUCUCUGGGCCUUACCUGACGCUGAGGAGCGAAAGCGUGGGGAGCGAACAGG
rnacentral:rRNA from 1 species